rnacentral:rRNA from 1 species
GAUGAACGCUGGCGGCGUGCCUAAUACAUGCAAGUCGAGCGAACAGAUGAGGAGCUUGCUCCUCUGACGUUAGCGGCGGACGGGUGAGUAACACGUGGAUAACCUACCUAUAAGACUGGGAUAACUUCGGGAAACCGGAGCUAAUACCGGAUAAUAUAUUGAACCGCAUGGUUCAAUAGUGAAAGACGGUUUUGCUGUCACUUAUAGAUGGAUCCGCGCCGCAUUAGCUAGUUGGUAAGGUAACGGCUUACCAAGGCGACGAUGCGUAGCCGACCUGAGAGGGUGAUCGGCCACACUGGAACUGAGACACGGUCCAGACUCCUACGGGAGGCAGCAGUAGGGAAUCUUCCGCAAUGGGCGAAAGCCUGACGGAGCAACGCCGCGUGAGUGAUGAAGGUCUUCGGAUCGUAAAACGCUGUUAUUAGGGAAGAACAAAUGUGUAAGUAACUAUGCACGUCUUGACGGUACCUAAUCAGAAAGCCACGGCUAACUACGUG